GGGGAUAUAGCUCAGUGUAGAGUGUUUGCCUAGCAUGCACAAGGCCCUGGGUUUGAUUCCCAGCACCCCCA
rnacentral:tRNA from 1 species